AUACUAUCAGACACAGAAGUAACAUUCUGAUAUGUACUGCAGUAACAUUCUGAUAUGUACUGCAGUAACAUUCUGAUAUGUACUGUCAGUAACAUUCUGAUAUGUACUGUCAGUAACAUUCUGAUAUGUACUGUCAGUAACAUUCUGAUAUGUACUGCAGUAACAUUCUGAUAUGUACUGCAGUAACAUUCUGAUAUGUACUGCAGUAACAUUCUGGUAUGUACUGCAGUAACAUUCUGAUAUGUACUGCAGUAACAUUCUGACAUGUACUGCAGUGACAUUCUGACAUGUACUGCAGUAACAGCAUGUUAUAAUCCUAUCAGAGACACAGAAGGGACAUUCUGAUAUGUACUGCAGUAACAUUCUGAUAUGUACUGCAGUAACAUUCUGAUAUGUACUGUCAUAACAUUCUGAUAUGUACUGUCAGUAAUAUUCUGAUAUGUACUGCAGUAACAUUCUGAUAUGUACUGUCAGUAACAUUCUGAUAUGUACUGUCAGUAACAUUCUGAUAUGUACUGCAGUAACAUUCUGAUAUGUACUGCAGUAACAUUCUGAUAUGUACUGCAGUAACAUUCUGAUAUGUACUGCAGUAACAUUCUGAUAUGUACUGUCAGUAACAUUCUGAUAUGUACUGUCAGUAACAUUCUGACAGUAACAUUCUGAUAUGUACUGCAGUAACAUUCUGAUAUGUACUGCAGUAACAUUCUGAUAUGUACUGCAGUAACAUUCUGAUAUGACUG
ensembl:lncRNA